AGACAGCUAGGAGGUUGGCUUAGAAGCAGCCAUCCUUUAAAGAAAGCGUAAUAGCUCACUAGUCGAGUCGGCCUGCGCGGAAGAUGUAACGGGGCUCAAACCAUGCACCGAAGCUACGGGUUCAACGUAAGUUGAGCGGUAGAGGAGCGUUCUGUAAGCCUGUGAAGGUGAGUUGAGAAGCUCGCUGGAGGUAUCAGAAGUGCGAAUGCUGACAUGAGUAACGACAAUGCGAGUGAAAAACUCGCACGCCGAAAG
rnacentral:rRNA from 1 species